UACGUAGGUGGCAAGCGUUUGUCCGGAUUUACUGGGCGUAAAGGGCGUGCAGGCGGUCUGUUAAGUCUAGGGUGAAAGCUCCCGGCUCAACUGGGAGAGGUCCUUGGAUACUGGCGGACUUGAGGGAGGUAGAGGAAAGUGGAAUUCCCGGUGUAGUGGUGAUAUGCGUAGAUAUCGGGAGGAACACCUGUGGCGAAGGCGGCCCCCUGGUUGGAUACUGGACGCUGAUACGCGAAAGCGUGGGGAGCAA
rnacentral:rRNA from 1 species